GGAGCUCAGCGUUUGAACAGGGGAGACGGGCAUGAUCAAUAAUUGGAUAUAUGUCAGGUUGUGAUGAACACAAUGAAAAAAAAAAUGAGUAAGGGGUUAGAGAAGUCCAGGUGGACAGGUGAGGGAAGGCCUCUCUGAGGAGGUGGUAUUCUGAGCAGACACCUGAAUGAGGCAGGGAGUCAUGGAAAUACCUGGGAGAAGAGCCUUCGAGAAAGAAUAACCAGUGCAGAGUGUUAGGGUCACCCCGACCAGUUCCCCUCCUUUCGCAUAGGUCUUACAAUACAGUCCUUUGUGACCUCCGCACAGCUCCCCCAGGGCUAAAGGCAACCCCCACUGCCGCCCUGCACUGACCCUUCCAGUAACUGUUUGUCCAGAAGACUUCAGCUGAACUGGCAAACAGUUCCAGGAUGCGGUCAGAACACCUGCUAACCAAAGCUGGCAAAAACAUCACCAGGAUGCAGUCAAGACACCUGCACCCCCAACUCGGUUCACACACCCCGACCCAGUUCCUCGCCCUGUAAAGCCCUGCUGCAGUCUGUAAGCAAGGCUGCCUCCUCUGCCUGUCAAGGAACAGCCUGGCAGGACAAAUAAAAAUUGCUUGCCUGUCUUUGGGUCUACUCGUCGUUUCUCUUGGCUAACCUUUUAUUUUGGUGCCAAAACCCAGGAAGGUGGUAGAGUUCGGCCUCCCUUUCUCUCUCUUUCCUAACCACCACCCCCACUUCCCUUGGCUGAACUCCCCCUUCCCAAACCUGCCAAAGACCCAGAGGACUUCUGGGACCCUCCCAUUGUUGGUGACUUCAUCCAUCACUAUAGUCUGCAAAGGGGUGAGUAAGAGAGACCCUUGCCAUCUACCCGGGACCCUUGACCGUCUCUGUCUUCCCAAAAGACCCAGUGCUGGGCCAAGGGCUCCCUCCGGCCUCUAGGCCUCCGACUCCUCUGUUUCAGGGACGCCUGACUGGGUGGUUGCCUUCUGUAUACUAAACAAGGCCCACAGGACUGGGGACGUCCUCUCCCCCGGUCCUUGCCACCGGCAGUCUCUCUCCUUCCUCAACCAUCUCCUCCAUUCACCAUGGGAGCCUAUCAAUCUACUCUGUCUAAAGCAACCCCCCUGGGGUCACUUGUGCAACCUUGAGACUCUCAGUUUUUGUGCAAAAGUUUGUCCCAAGAGGCUUAUUUUCUAUUGUGAUACGGCUUGGCCACAAUAUAAAUUAGACAUAGGCUCCCAGUGGCUUGAAAAUGGUACUUUCUAUUUCAAUAUACUCAGGGACUUAGACAAUUUUUGCCAUUGCGAUGGAAAAUGGUCUGAAAUUCCUUAUGUUCAGGCUUUCGUCACCCUCUGUAACCGCUCUUCACUUUGCCAAUCCUUCUCCGAUUUCCAAAUCCUCCUCACCCGCUCUAAGCCCAAUUUACUCUCAGCAGACCCCCCCUUCACAGCAAGCGACAACUCCUCCUUUGACCCCGCCGGCUUUCCACCUCCCUGGCAACAUCAUAAUCCUCCAUCAGAUCAUCACGAUCCUCCACCAUACACUCCCGCUCCUGCCUUAUCUCUUUCCCCUCCCCUCUCUAACCACCCAGCUUCUGAAUCUGAUUCCUCCCCAUCUCUCCACCUCAUACCCGCUCUCGAACUGAGCACGUCCAACAACCAGUCUCCAUACUUCCCCUCCGAGAGGUUGCCAGAGUUGAAGGAAUCAUUCGUGUCCACGUUCCCUUCUCCCUCUCUGACCUUUCCCAAAUUGAAAAACAUCUCGGGUCGUUUUCCUCCAAUCCCGACACUUAUAUUAAAGACUUCAAAUACCUUACCCAAUCUUAAGAACUCACUUGGCAUGAUCUCUAUAUUGUCCUCUCUUCCACUAUCUUCCCAGAAGAGAAGGAAAAAGUGUGGCUCACAUCUCAGGCACAUGCUAAUGAUCUUCAAGCAAGGCUUCAAGGAUAGCCCCCAUUUCUUUGGGCAAGCCCUACCCCAAGACCUUGCCUCGUUAAACCUAUCCCCCAGCCUCCUUCUCCAGUAUGUAGAUGACCUCCUUCUCUGCAGCUGCUCCCUAAAAGACUCCCAUGUCCACACUGCCACCUUUCUCAAUUUUCUUGCUGUUAAAGGCUAUAGAGUGUCCCCAUCCAAAGCACAGCUUUCCACCCCUAGUGUGACCUACCUAGAAGUUCAACUCUCUACCGGGUCCCAAGCCAUGACCCCAGCAUGAGCAGCCUUAAUGGGCAACCUAUCUCCAUGUUCCUCAAAAAGUGAAAUUCUUUCCUUCCGAGGGCUAGCAGGCUUUUUCAGAAUAUGGAUCCUCAACUUUGCCCUCUUAGCUCACCCCCUCUAUGAAGCAGCCAAAGGCCCCCUAAAGGAGCACCUAAAUCCCUACGACAACAUAGCCCCUAGCUUCCACAAACUUAAAACCGCCCUUAUAAUCGCUCCAGCCCUAUGUUUGCCUGAUAUUUCCCAGCCCUUCACCCUCUACACAACUGAAAGCCAAGGAAUAGCCCUUGGCAUACUUGGCCAACCAGAACGAAGUCCUCCAUCUUUUGCCCCCAUAGCCUAGCUUUCCAAACAGCUGGACAAUACCAUUUGAGGAUGGCCAACCUGCCUCAGAGCUCUAGCGGCAGCUGCCACCCUGGCCAUAGAAAGUAAAAAGCUAACAUUCGGUCAAGAUACCACCAUCCACAGUCCACAUAAUCUAUAAGACCUCCUUUCCUCCCAAGCAUUAAGCAUUCUCCCCCGUCCCACAUCCAGCUUUUUCAUGCCCUAUUUCUUGACAACCCCGAGUUCUGUCCUGCCAAAAGUUCCCCCCUUUAACCCCGCAUCUCUAAUUCCAUUAUCUUCCUUGCCUCCUUCCCACUCCUGUACUGAAAUUCUAGACCACCUGCAACCACACUUCCCUAACAUCUCCUCUGAGCCUCCUAUUGACCAACUAUUGGUCAAUAUAAUGACCAACUAUACCCAGAUGGCUCCUCUUCCGGAGCCACCGGCUCUCCCAAAAUUGCUAGGUAUGCAGUAGUUACCUUAAACCAAGUAAUUGAGGCUAAGCCCCUACCCCUAGGAACCUCCUCCCAAAAAGCAGAUCUCAUAGCUCUCACCAGACCCCUUACCCUCUCCAAAGGCAAAUGAGUCAACAUUUACACAGACUCCAAAUAUGCCUAUCACAUCCUCCAUUCUCAUGCCGCCAUCUGGCAAGAGAGAGGAUUCCUUACUGCCCAAGGAACCCCCAUCACUAACGGCCCCCUUAUUUACCAACUUCUUCAGGCCUCACACCUCCCAACUAAAGCAGGAGUUAUGCACUUUUGAGGACAUCAAACAGGAUCAGAUGAAAUCUCAAGAAAUAACAGAAAGGCCGAUAAGGCAGGAAAAGAAGACUCCCUUUCUUCUGUCCCUGCCCCCCUCCUCCUUGUUACCCCAGCAAUCCAACCCAACCCAAGUACUCUCCCACCGAAAAGGCUUCACUACUACAGCAAGGAGCCUCCCUUCAAGAGGAUUAAUCAAAAAUCAAGAGUUCGUCCUCCCCCAAGAGGAGACCAAGGAAAUUCUGACUUUUUUUUUUUUUUUUUUAGACGGAGUCUUGCUGUGUCGCCCAGGCUGGAGUGCAGUGGUGCGAUCUCGGCUCACUGCAACCUCUGCCUCCCAGGUUCACGCCAUUCUCCCGCCUCAGCCUGCCAAGUAGCUGAGACCACAAGCACCCGCCACCACACUCGGCUAAUUUUUUGUAUUUUUAGUAGAGACCGGGUUUCACCAUGUUAACCAGGAUGGUCUCGAUCUCCUGACCUCGUGAUCCGCCCGCCUCAGCCUCCCAAAGUGCUGGGAUUACCCGCGUGAGCCACCGCGCCCGGCCUAAUUCUGACAUCUCUUCACCAAUCCUUCCAUAUUGGUUAAAAAGGGCUCCUGCAACUGACCUGCCACCGACUGUUCCCUGUAAAUACUGUAACCAGCUGUUCCCUGUAAAUACUCCAGCACCCUCCUUGGACCAACCUGACUCAGCCUUACACCCAUCCCAGAAGACGCCAACCCACCCCCUCCGCCAAGAAACAUAACAGAUAAGUUACCACCCCUUACUGUUAAAUAUCGAAACCCUCAUUAAUGGGAAUCAUUUACUGCACUGCCCUUAUAGGAGUUGCCUUACUUACUCUGCUCUUUGCCGUAGGAAGAGAUACUGUAACACCCCCAGGGUGGAACUCUAGCUUCAUAAUCCUCCUCAUAGCAGAAUAAAGGCCACUAAUAAGUGACUGCCCCUCCUAAAUGUCCUGCCUUUGCCCUGUCUUGCCACUUCACUCUCUUUCUUACCCAGAACAACCCACCCUCACAGCACUCCUUAACUGGGUAACUGAUCUCACCUUCCAAAGAGCCCUAUUCGUGAGUUUAGCCCAGGUGAGACCAAUUUCUUCACCUUCACUCUUAUCCUUUGCCUGCUUACUCCUCCUUCCCUUCUCCUCCUCACUACGACUCCAUCUACAACGAACCAUCCAACAGGCACACACAAUACUUAAUCAAACCAAUCCUGACCUCGCACGUAACUGCUGGUUUUGUGUCCAUUCCUCAGAAACCACAUCAAAAAUUGCCUUCCUGGUCCCACUUAAAGAUUGGACCCUUACCAACCUGACACUCCAUCCUCACUAUCGAAGCUUCGGAGGGGUAAAUGCACUUAAAAGUUAUAAAACCAACCUCACCCGCUACACCUCCAGGAGCAAACUUAUCUUAGGGACACUUACAUCUGAUGCCAAAUUAGACCAACAGGCACCCCUUUGUAUACAGCACGACCUUCCCUCAGGAACCCCUUUAGGCACUCUCCCCACCGGCUCAUGUAACUACACCCUACAACUCAGCCCACCUGCUGGUAUCCAGCCGCUAACAGUAUACAAUCCCACUCAAAUACUCAAAAUUUCUGGUCCCCC
ensembl:lncRNA novel transcript